rnacentral:rRNA from 1 species
GCAUGCAAGUCGAGCGAAGCUUUUCAGUAGUUUACUACAGAAAAUGACUGAGCGGCGAACGGGUGAGUAACGCGUGAGCAAUCUACCUUAGUUACAGGGAUAGCCCGGGGAAACUCGGAUUAAUACCUGAUAUUCUUUACAUUUCGCAUGAAAUCAAAAGGAAAGGUCAGCCGAACUAAGAUGAGCUCGCGUUCUAUCAGCUAGUUGGUGAGGUAAAAGCUCACCAAGGCUACGACGGAUAGCUGGUCUGAGAGGACGAUCAGCCACACUGGGACUGAGACACGGCCCAGACUCCUACGGGAGGCUGCAGCAGGGAAUAUUGCGCAAUGAGCGAAAGCUUGACGCAGCGACACCGCGUGUGGGAUGACGGAUCUAGGUUUGUAAACCACUUUCAGGAGGGAAGAAAAUGACGGUACCUCCACAAGAAGCCCCGGCCAACUACGUGCCAGCAGCCACGGUAAUACGUAGGGGGCGAGCGUUGUCCGGAUUUAUUGGGCGUAAAGAGCUCGUAGGCGGUUCAACAAGUCGGUCGUAAAAGUUCAGGGCUCAACCCUGAAAUGUCGAUCGAUACUGUUGUGACUAGGAUACGGUAGAGGUGAGUGGAAUUCCGAGUGUAGCGGUGAAAUGCGUAGAUAUUCGGAGGAACACCAAUUGCGAAGGCAGCUCACUGGGCCGCUAUCGACGCUGAGGAGCGAAAGCUAGGGGAGCAAACAGGAUUAGAUACCCUGGUAGUCCUAGCUGUAAACGAUGGAUACUAGACGUAGGAACUGGAUUGACGGUUUCUGUGUCGUAGCUAACGCGUUAAGUAUCCCGCCUGGGGAGUACGGUCGCAAGACUAAAACUCAAAGGGAUUGACGGGACCCCGCACAAGCGGCGGAGCAUGCGGCUUAAUUCGAUGAUACCCGUAGAACCUUACCUGGGACUGACAUAUA